rnacentral:rRNA from 1 species
UACGUAGGGACCGAGCGUUGUCCGGAAUCAUUGGGCGUAAAGAGCGUGUAGGCGGCCACUUAAGUCCUGCGUGAAAUCUUGCGGCUCAACCGCAAGCGGUCGUGGGAAACUGGGUGGCUAGAGUGCGGGAGAGGAGAGUGGAAUUCCUGGUGUAGCGGUGGAAUGCGCAGAUAUCAGGAGGAACACCGAUGGCGAAGGCAGCUCGCUGGGACGGUACUGACGCUGAGGCGCGAAAGCGUGGGGAGCGAACAGG